AUUGAACGCUGGCGGCAGGCCUAACACAUGCAAGUCGAACGCGUGGCGGUCGGGUGAGUAAUGUUUGGGAAACUGUCUGCUGGAGGGGGAUAAUUACUGGACACGGUAGCUAAUAUCGCAUACUAUCAGAUGUGCCCAGAUGGGAUUAGCUUGUUGGUGGGGUAACGGCUCACCAAGGCGACGAUCCCUAGCUGGUCUGAGAGGGUGACCGGCCACACUGGAACUGAGACACGGUCCGGACUCCUACGGGAGGCAGCGGUGGGGAAUAUUGCACAAUGGGCGCAAGCCUAAUGCAGACAUGCCGCGUGUAUGAAGAGGGCCUUCGGGUUGUAAAGUACUUUCAGCGGGGAGGCGUUACCCGCAGAAGAAGCACCGGCUAACUCCGUGCCAGCAGCCGCGGUAAUAC
rnacentral:rRNA from 1 species